rnacentral:rRNA from 1 species
CCUACGGGUGGCUUCAGUGAGGAAUAUUGGUCAAUGGACGAGAGUCUGAACCAGCCAAGUAGCGUGAAGGAUGACUGCCCUAUGGGUUGUAAACUUCUUUUAUAUGGGAAUAAAAUGUUCCACGUGUGGGAUUUUGUAUGUACCAUAUGAAUAAGGAUCGGCUAACUCCGUGCCAGAAGCCGCGGUAAUACGGAGGGUCCGAGCGUUAUCCGGAUUUAUUGGGUUUAAAGGGGGCGUAGGUGGAUUGUUAAGUCAUGUGUGAAAGUUUGCGGGGUAAACGGAAAAUUGCAGUUGACACUGGGAGUCUGGAGUACAGUAGAGGGGGGCGGAAUUCGUGGUGUAGCGGUGAAAUGCUUAGAUAUCACGAAGAACCCCGAUUGCGAAGGCAGCUCACCGG